rnacentral:rRNA from 1 species
UACGUAGGGGGCAAGCGUUGUUCGGAUUUAUUGGGCGUAAAGAGCGUGUAGGCGGCCUUACAGGUCAGCUGUGAAAACUCGAGGCUCAACCUCGAGACGUCGGUUGAAACCGUAUGGCUAGAGUCCGGAAGAGGAGAGUGGAAUUCCCGGUGUAGCGGUGAAAUGCGCAGAUAUCGGGAAGAACACCCGUGGCGAAGGCGGCUCUCUGGGACGGUACUGACGCUGAGACGCGAAAGCGUGGGGAGCGAACAGG